rnacentral:rRNA from 1 species
GAUGAACGCUGGCGGCGUGCCUAAUACAUGCAAGUCGAGCGAACAGACGAGGAGCUUGCUCCUCUGACGUUAGCGGCGGACGGGUGAGUAACACGUGGAUAACCUACCUAUAAGACUGGGAUAACUUCGGGAAACCGGAGCUAAUGCCGGAUAAUAUAUUGAACCGCAUGGUUCAAUAGUGAAAGACGGUUUUGCUGUCACUUAUAGAUGGAUCCGCGCCGCAUUAGCUAGUUGGUAAGGUAACGGCUUACCAAGGCAACGAUGCGUAGCCGACCUGAGAGGGUGAUCGGCCACACUGGAACUGAGACACGGUCCAGACUCCUACGGGAGGCAGCAGUAGGGAAUCUUCCGCAAUGGGCGAAAGCCUGACGGAGCAACGCCGCGUGAGUGAUGAAGGUCUUCGGAUCGUAAAACUCUGUUAUUAGGGAAGGACAAAUGUGUAAGUAACUAUGCACGUCUUGACGGUACCUAAUCAGAAAGCCACGGCUAACUACGUG